UAAAAAAAUGUUUGAUUCCUAAAGGUCUACGUCAAAAAAAUCAGAUUUAUUGCUGUUUGCUUUAAAAUAUAUUCUUAAUAUAAAAUACAAUUAAACAUAUACUGACAUGAAAUUUAAAAAACUUUGAAACACAAUGAUUUAAUACAAAAUCUCGCAUUUACACGACUCAUUACAGUAUGAGUUGAUAUUAUUCGAGAUUAACACGUGUUUCCGCUGUAGCAGUAAACAACAACAGCAUGGAUUUUCAUGAUUAUUUUACGAUGGAGAACACGUCAAUUCAUCAGAUAUGACGGGUCUUUUCUUUGGCAUUAGAUGUGACACGUGUAGUGUGCUGGUACCAUUUAGGCUUCAGAACUUUCUUCUAUGAAGACCCACUUGCUAAUCCCACCAAUGGCCACCAUGCACAGAAAAGACCAUGAUGUGGAGGACAUAGGUGCUUAGUUAUUAGAGUCGGGACAGAAUACAUUUAGAAACUGAUCAUGCCUAAGUCAAAUCAAAGGAGUUCCCUCGGUCUUUCAGAGAGAUGGCAGAGAGUUCAUUCAACAUGAAGAUGAUGUGCACAUAAUGUAAUCUGGAAUCUAAAGUUAGAGAUAAAAACCUGCAAACUUACUAGCAAAUAAGCCUAUCUGCUUGUUCAUCAUUCUUUGCGGGAUACUUCACUUUUAGGAAUGCUCUUUAUUUCUAUCAAUGAUGCAAGUGGUUAUUCAAGAUCAUGUCAUGUGAUAUAAGGAAUUCUGACUUUUGACAGCAUAAGUCAAGGGUUUGUGAGAAGAGUAGCAAAUGCUAAAGAAAUCCUUGGAUACUGAAAUUCAGUCAUUGUAUGCCACAUAAACUGGAUGAGUGAAAGAUUAUAGCUGAAGUUCUGUGCUUGUCCAUCUUUGCUGUUUUUUCAUAUGCUUAUAAAAUGACAAAAGUUGUUUUAACAAGUGACCCAGUAAAGACUUGAAAAUGUAAAAUAAUUCUUGUAAGAAAAGAAAAAUUGUAAAUGUUUUCUUAUACAAUGUAUUCUAGAUGACAAAGAAUGUGUUUGACUAAGUUUUUGAAAAUGACAAAAUAAGUUCUCUUUUGUGUAAUUAAAAAAUGAUACUUGUUGCAAUACAUUUUUACCUUAAUAUGAUUUUAAUAGUAUUUGUCACUUAGAUUGAAAUACUUGAGAACACAUCUUACAAAUUUUGUUCCAGUUUACUUAAGUCAGAGAUAUAUUUUUUGAAUGACAACCAAGAUUUGCAAAAAAAGAAAAAACAAAGUAAAACAAAACUAUUCACUUUUGUGAUAUCUCUUUUGAUUUUGUUGUUUACAAUUUUAUGUGUCAGUUAUUGGACAAUAUGUCCAUAAUAAUUGCAGCAUUUCAAAUUUGAUAUAUACUUACAAUUUAAGGCAGAUUUCUGAACUGAUAUGACCUUGACCCCCAAAGAACAGAAAUUUCAGGGUCAAUACUUAAGACAAUUAUUUGUUGGAUGUUUUAUACAAUAUUUUUGACCUUAUAUCUUACAAACCAUGGAAAACUGUCUAGAAUAAGAAGUAAGAAACCUAUAAAGCCAAAAAAUUGAAUAUUGUUGUUGCUUAGCAACCAUUUAAAGGUCAUUUAACACAAAUUUGAACA